rnacentral:lncRNA from 1 species
UGGAGAAGAUCAGUUCUGGUUAGCAGCUUUAUUGCCACAGAAAGGACACUGGCAGAUACUUCUCAUAGCUCUAGUCAUGCUGAAUUCCCAGAAAGGGGUGUCAGAAUGAAUUGCUCUAAGCUCUUCUCCCUGGUAGAAGAACCUGUGACUUCUCUUGGAGAUCUCUUCAAUUUUCGGAAGCUGAUGCUUACAACAAUGGAGAUUAGCAAUACCUGGACAGAGUUGAGCUUCAAAGGAUACUGAGAAAUGGCUAAAGCAGAUGAUAAAGAAAAAAUGAGGAAAUGCUGUGAAGAACUAAUAGAACGUUUCAGAAGCAGAACAAGUCGAGAGCAGUGAUGACCCUUUUCUUCCUGCUAGUACCUCCUGUCUGUCUGGCUGAACUCACCAUCAGAUGAUGUCUUGAACCUCACCUAGAUGGGCUGGUGGUGUGUGGCCAGGUUAAGAGCACCAACAGGAGUAAGAAAGUGACCUGCCUGGUUUUACCGUGUGCACUAGGGGAGGGGUUGAAAGCUUUCGGUUGAUACAUCACCUCUGGGAGUUGAAGAAGAAUGCAAUUAAGAGAGCUAAAGAAGUCAGUAGGUAUCUCUCCUGAACAAUUCUGGUUUUCUUCUAAUAGCUUUUACAAUUUUUACCUCUGUUAUGAAAUGCAAACUUUUAACCAAUAUUAGUAAUAGUAAUCUCAAAUCUCAUCAUCAUCAAAAUCUUAUUUAUGAAAUGUAGGAGUUAGUUCAUAUACAGCCUUAGCCUUUUCCACAUUAUAAAAUAUAUUCCAUAUAUAUGUGUGAUCUUCAUUUAAUAUUCAAGUAAAUGUUGUAAGAUAUUGUUAUUUUUAUUCUAACAUUUCACAGGUAUAGAAUCUGAAACUCAGAGGUCAACUGAUGUGUCAAAGAUACCUCCACAAAUCAGUACCUUGAUUAAAACUAAAAUUGGAGUCAUCUUCAUAUCUUCAUCUUUCUCCCUCUUCAUUAGGACCGAUUGUAGUCUGUUUCCCUCUCACUCACUUGCAAUCUUUAUUGCUUUAGUGUUGCAUUUGAUUUUUAUCUUUGUUUUUGUUUUAAAUACUGUCAUUAAAGUCAUAGAAAAAUCUAAAGUAAAACUGGUUGAAUAAAAAUUUUAAAAUCGACUCUAAUGUAAUAAACCAGACAAAAAUGAUACUUUACAUGUUAUAUCUUCCCUUUAAACUACAAAUAUUCAUUGAGUGUAUACCCUGUAUUAGGCUGUUGGAAUAAAACAGGGAAGAAGACAGAAGAAACUGCACCGCCAUCUUAGAUCUUGCAGCCAAAUUCCUCUGAACUUUUCUCUAAAGACGUGCUCUGGAAAAAUGUUGAUCAUUUUCCUACAUCAUGGAGGUCUUUUCAUGACCACCUUUGUCUAGACAAUGUCCUGUUUUUAGGUGCACGUUUGAGGGCUGGAGUCUCUGACCCACAGUGCUGCAGCCUGCACGUGGUUUGUCCUGACUUCUUUGCUACUUCACUUUUCGUAAGGCUCUGAGAGUGCAGGCCCUUGUGGGUGGACACUGCAGGGUGAGAGGAAGAAGUAAACUACUUUUUUCCGUUUCUGAUGGGGGUGUGGGUCAGCAGCUAUAAGCAACAGGGACCAUGGGGGGCCUCAGACUUCAGCACCUGAGAGGCAGUUUCAGUCGUAUUGGGGAGAUGCAGGCAUCUGGGUUGCUGCACAUCACCAGGGCAGGGUUCUCUCAGCAGCCCUGGAGUGCAGAGUUCCCAUCAGCUCAGCAGUGAGGGGCACAUGGGGCUCCAG